rnacentral:lncRNA from 1 species
GGCUAAGCAAUACAGAUCAAGUCUCUUACCAGCUGUCUUAACGCUGCUGGUGUAUAGCCAUCUUCUUCAGCAUGUAAUGUGUGGAUGUACUUAUCGGUGAAUAGAAGCUAAAAUCAGCUCCGCUCGGUGCAGCCAUCGCUGCUGUUGGGAACCCGUGGACAGAAGCUGCCUCUCUGCAAGUGCACUGCAGGCUGCACAGAGCCUUAAACUCGCACAAGGGAUUUGUGAGCAGCCUGCUUGUUGAGAACAAAUCCUCAUCGAAAGGAACGCAUGACUUGCUGACCCUGGGUUCACAGAGCCUUCGUCCUGGCG